GAUGAAGAACGCAGCGAAAUGCGAUAAGUAGUGUGAAUUGCAGAAUUCAGUGAAUCAUCGAAUCUUUGAACGCACAUUGCGCCCCCUGGCAUUCCGGGGGGCAUGCCUGUCCGAGCGUCAUUACAACCCUCAAGCUCAGCUUGGUGUUGGGCCCCGCCGCCCCGGCGGGCCCUAAAGUCAGUGGCGGUGCCGUCCGGCUCCGAGCGUAGUAAUUCUUCUCGCUCUGGAGGUCCGGUCGCGUGCUCGCCAGCAACCCCCAAUUUUUUUCAGGUUGACCUCGGAUCAGGUAGGGAUACCCGCUGAACUUAAGCAUAUCAAUAAGCGGAGGA
rnacentral:misc_RNA from 1 species